ACAACCAGGAGACGAAGAGGCGUCACUCCUUCCCGCUGAUUGUUACCGAAGCAGAGAAGGCUGGUGUUUUUCAUGCCAUCAAAUGAGGAAUAAACCGGUUUACAUCUUAUUAGUAUUGUUGUUUACAAGGUGCGAUCAAUAACUGUAAAUCACAGACUCAAAUAUUGACGUCACAUGAGGAGUGAUCUCUCAUCUUAAACAUGCAAGAUCGUUGUAGCCACCAAGCAACUCUGCCUGGAAACAGGAAGUGUUGCGGUGCUUGUUGUGUGCGACCCUAAGACCGUAAAAGCUUCGCGUACAGGUGUGACGUGUAGCGUGAAGCAUGAUGGGAGGAGAUGUGAGCCGAGAGACUAAAAGUGAUGAAGAGCAGGAACGACACCUCUCCACCCCUGACUCGUCUUCAUUGCAAGAGCCUGCAGGAGCGCUGCCCCAGUGCAUGUUGGGAGACAGGAAGGUGGAUGACAUGCGAUUCAUGGUCACGUGCACUAAUUGGUACUGACUCACGUGAUGCAUUCAGGGAGCAGAGUAUGGCCACCCAGUCUGGAGAGGUACAAACCGUUUUUUGUCGUCUAAAAUGCCGUCUUGGCAGUGGGGUGGCUUCCGAGUUUGUCCAAGUGUUGUUUGGUAUGCAUUUGGUAUUGCUGCAGUACUUUUAGAGGUCAUCAGAGGUCACAAUGGUUGUCACGUGAUGAUGACGUGUUAUUUAAUGAUCCAUGAAACGUGAUAAAAAAUUGACGUUUAUUGCAAAGACAUUUUCAACAAAGAAAUAGAAAACUCAUGUUAAACAGCUGUGUUGCCAUGGUAACAACAAACGUAUGAAGAUGUCCUGAAGGAGGUGAGGUCAAACUAGAAAAAAAAAGCUUUGCACUUGAAAGUCAAAGUGGUGUGAACUUCAUUUCAUGUUAAAUAAACCCAAAUACAAAACGACAUGUUCUGAUCCAUGUGAAAAAGCUUUUAUUUACACAAGAAGCCGACUGUUAAAGCUAUUUGUGAUAUGUUUUUACAAACCAGCAAAGGCAACAACGUGCUCGCUAAAGGAAGACGCAGGUACUUUAAGCGACGCCCCCCCCAGGGACGCUUGUUGCAGAUCUGCAUCUCCCUUUAAAGGCAACUCACUGUCCACCACAUCCACCAGAGCCUCAACACAUCCCGACCGGGCUUGUUUGCACAAUCUCCCGCUCUCGUCCUUUCACAGGAAGUGUGUGUGUGUGUGUGUGUGUGUGUGUGAGAGAAAGUGGCACGAUGGGAUGACGUGACAAGCCCCGCCCAGCUGGCCGCCAAAAGCAACACACCAUGGAAAGGACCUAGCUGGUCCUUUUCCUUUCCACAAACAAUUAAGUGCGGAGAAUCAUCAUCAUUUCUAGGUCACGAUCCGCUUUAUUUAUUUACAAAAUCCUUUUUCUUUCUAAAACACCACGCUAAAGAAAAAGGUCACAGCUAGCUAGUGCUAUGCUAGUGAUGUGAAUAUGUGCUAACAUGCUAACUAGCGAGCAGGUGGACGUGUCUGGGCGAGGAGCAACUCCUCUCUGAUGUUUGGAAAUGUACAAAUAAAAGAAUAAAACCAUGUGAUGUCAUUCCAGCAACAUUUCUCACCUAAACUGUGGCCCGUCUUCCUCAUCACGGAAGGGGCGUCUGCUUGAAGGAACCGCCAACAUUCCAGUUGUGGCUGUCAGCCAUCUUUGUUGUUAGUAUUUAUGGCCUUUCUUUCCCCCAGUCACACCCACUCGUGCACGGCAUACUUGUAGUAGUGCGGUGUCAUGGCAGCCGGCUGCACGCUUUUGUUCUUGAACUGGAACACGGUGUAGACCAGGACCAGGACGCACAGCGACAGCACGCACGGGAUCACCACGGCGAUGGCGUUGACCGUGGCCGGGAUGUCGUUGAUGGCCACCAUGAUGUCCAGGUCGUCCAGGGGGCGCUGGCGGUCGUCACGGUUACUCUUCCCGCCGGGAUGCUCCAUGUCGGACUGUUCGCAUCCCAUCCAGUCCUUCAGGAUGGAUUUUGGGUAUCCGGGUUCCACCGACAACUUUUGGUUGUCAAACUUCCAGUAGUCCCGCCCCUUGUAGAAGUAGGUGUAGUCUGCGGGAGGGGGCACAAACAAUCACUUCUGCUUGUUUACCCUAUGACCCCAUGUGGUCAUGAGGUGUGUGUACAUGUCUAUGUGUGUACAUGCACAUGUGUGUACGUGUAUGUGUGUGUACUUCUGCGUGUUGGCGUAUUUCGGACACUCACAUCCCUCCCUGCUGACGAAGGCACCCUGGGGGGCAGGGGGAACGCCCUUCCACACGCUGAUGGGUUUGGGGUAGCCCGGGUCGGCCGCCCCCCUCUCCUCGUUGUAGCGCCAGUACCGGUCCCCCUUGAACAAGUACGUCUUUCCCACCGGAUCCCAACGCAGCGCCGCGUCCACGCCGCCUUGGGGCAGGCGCACGUUGAGCUGGGCCAGACUGCGGGGAAAGCCCGGCUCAGGCGUCACCUCCCGGAACAGCCAGUACUUGUCACCUAGGAGAGCGUGACGUGGUCAGGUUUCAAAAUAAAACAGGAAGUCGUCACUUAAAUCCUUCUUUACCUUUGAAGAAGACAAAUUUGCCGUCGGCUCUCUCGUAGGCGGCGUCGAUGUGAGGCGGCAAUCCCUUCCAAAAAUGAUCGAUCAGCAUCGGAUAACCUUCCAGAACUUUGUUGUUCCUCAGACGCCAGAACCAGCGAUCCUGAACACAACCAAGGUGGCCGGACAUUGUCUACGUGCUGACCUUCUCUUUUUAUGCCAACAAAUGUUUGCUCCAUCCUACACUUUUUUUUUUCCCACCACGCUAGAACAUUGUAGAACAUUCUAGACCAUUGUAAAUGCUAUCCUACUGCAUUCUAGAUCACUAUGGAGCAUUCUAGAAGAUUAUGAGUGUUGUCCUAGACCAGGGGUGUCCAAACUUUUUCCAGCGAGGGCCGCAUAAUGAAAAACGAAAGGAUGCAAGGGCCGCUUUGAUACAGUAUUUAGUAAACCAACACACAGAGGUAUGCUAAGAAGCUACAGUAUAUGUAGCUCUAGAAAAAACUGCAUUUCACCUUUGUAAUAUGGGUGAAAUGCUACUAAGAAUGACCUUUUUUCCAUAAUAUUACGAGUUUAUUCUCAUAAAAUUGCGACUUUUUUUCUAUUUCUGCUGGGUUUUUUUUCUUCAACUAUUUCGUUUCAGCUUUUGUCUUGUAAAUUUUCUCUUUAAAUCUUUUAAAACAAGAAUGUAUUUAAAAAAAAAAAAAAAAGUCUGGAGCCGCAAAACAUUACACAGCUUAUAAACUUGAAAAUGCUAUCUGUUUUUUGAUUGGGAGAAUAGAUGCUCUGAUGUUUUUAUGAACGAUUCUUUCAUGUAUUCUCCGUCUGUGAAUGGCUUCCGUCUCAUGUGCAGCCCAGUGUUGCCAACCGGGCGAUUUUCUCGCUAAGUCUGGCGACUUUCCAAACCCUCUUGGUGACUUAUUUUCUCCAAAGCGACUAGCGGCAAAUGUAAAGACUUUUCCUGGCGUCUUUGGGAGAUUUUUUUGGUAUUUGGAGGUGUGAAAGCAUAUAUUGCUCUGAGCGGCGAGUGCAGUCAGCUGCCGCAGCACACUCCACUGCUAAUGAUUUGCCACUUGAUAAGAUUUAAAAUGAUAUUUCCAUACAUGUUAGAUAAUUUGCCUCGUUUUAAGGGCAAUCUACUCUCUGACUUUCUAUAGUAUACCCUUAAUUUUAGAAUGAGGGAUUACUUUUUGUCUAGUUUAGUUGAGA